CUCACCUUAUCUCUCUUAUCUAUAGAAUGGUUAUUGGUUGUUUUGCAUCUACACUACCUAAAAAUGAAAAAGUUAUGUCUAUUAUAUGCAAAGACGUGUUCUUUCACCUAGUAAGGGCUAAAAAAAAGAAUUAGGGCUUUUGUACUAUACUUUACCUCUGAAAGAAAAGAAGUUCUUUUGUGAUCCUUAUGAAAAGGGGCAUGAUGGGAAAAAGAAAGAAAAUAAGAAGGACUUUCAAAGGAAUCCUGGCUCUCCAGCCCAACUCCUCACUUAGAAGCAGGGCCUGCAUUCCUUCCCCGCCCUCCCAGAGCACCAUUCCCACCUGGUCCUCUUUCUCCACAGCUCACAGACCUCUCCUGACCUCUCCCCAGCUCACAUUUCCUUGGAAAAAAACAGAAAAAAAAUCACAAUCACCUGACCACUCACCACAAACCUGACCCCUUACCUCCAUCUGUGCACUCACGCUCCACCCUCCUCUCUGCUACAAUAAAAACUUCUAUAGGUCCAUCAAAGGCCAUCCACCAUUUGUGGUUUGGAUUCUGUCUCCUGCCCAAAAAGGUGGGGUUCUGAAAACAGCACUCUCCUCUCUACUUCAUAAUAAAUUUCUACUUCUUCAAUUCAUUGCUCCCGUCAGUACAAAUAUACUGUUGUCCACCUUAAAAAGCGAAAUUCUCCCGUGGCCUCUGUUCCCCUUCAGGGACAGCCUUAUUUCUCUGCUCUCUGACACAGUAAAACUUCAGAAUCUCACCUCUCAAUUUUCUUCUCUGCCUAGUCCAACUGGGCUUCUGUUUUCACCACUGCACUCAAACAUCCAUCUCCGUCUUGCUAAAUCCCAAAGUCGUCAUCUGAGCCCUCCCUCCCCACCUGCUUGUUUAACACUUGUUUCUCGAGGCUCAAUGACGACCAUGCUCUCCUAAUUUUCCUUCCACCUCACUGGCCCCUCCUUCUCUCUGCCUGGCCCCUAAAUCUAGGCCUGUUAGAAUGGAUAUACUGCAUAAUGCUGGAAAACUCAUCAGCUUACUUCUGUAGGAAGACCUGGAGGACACUCCGUUUACCAAAGCAAUAAGGAACGCGCUGAGGAGCUCCAGCCUUGCUGAGAAGACCAGUGAUCAGCUGUCCUCUGUAGACCAGGGCUGAGGUCUCUGCACCACUAGACCAAGAAAGGAACAACUGAAGAAAUUCCAGGAGCCGCUUCCCUUACCCUUGUCCCACUUGAGAAAUAAAACAAUGUGUUUUCGAUGUCUCCAUUA